rnacentral:sRNA from 1 species
CCCUAGCCCUGAUAGAAGUGGAAAUCCUUUUUAUUUUAUUUUUUAAAUAAAAAGAUUGCAACGAAUAGCGGGAAUUAGC